rnacentral:rRNA from 1 species
CUGGACAGUACUGACGCUGAGAUGCGAAAGCGUGGGGAGCAACAGGAUUAGAUACCUGGUAGUCCACGCUGUAAACGAUGUCGAUUUGGAGUUUGUUGCCUAGAGUGAUGGGCUCCGAAGCUAACGCGAUAAAUCGACCGCCUGGGGAGUACGGCCGCAAGGUUAAAACUCAAAUGAAUUGACGGGGGCCCGCACAAGCGGUGGAGCAUGUGGUUUAAUUCGAUGCAACGCGAAGAACCUUACCUGGUCUUGACAUCCAUAGAAUUCUGCAGAGAUGUGGGAGUGCCUUCGGGAACUAUGAGACAGGUGCUGCAUGGCUGUCGUCAGCUCGUGUUGUGAAAUGUUGGGUUAAGUCCCGCAACGAGCGCAACCCUUAUUCUUUGUUGCCAGCGAUUUGGUCGGGAACUCAAAGGAGACUGCCGUUGAUAAAGCGGAGGAAGGUGGGGACGACGUCAAGUCAUCAUGGCCCUUACGACCAGGGCUACACACGUGCUACAAUGGCGUAUACAAAGGGAAGCGAAGGUGCGAGCUGGAGCGGAUCUCAUAAAGUACGUCUAAGUUCGGAUUGGAGUCUGCAACUCGACUCCAUGAAGUCGGAAUCGCUAGUAAUCGUAGAUCAGAAUGCUACGGUGAAUACGUUCCCGGGCCUUGUACACACCGCCCGUCACACCAUGGGAGUGGGUUGCACCAGAAGUAGAUAGCUUAACCGCGAGGGGGGCGUUUACCACGGUGUGAUUCAUGACUGGGGUGAAGUCGUAACAAGGUAACCA